rnacentral:lncRNA from 1 species
UUCUUAGAAAGAGAACGCAAAAUCUUGUUUACGAGUUCAAAAUCCAAAAAACAUUUUCCAAGAGCUCUUAAACUAUUGACGACAUCCGUGAAACGGGUGUACAUGUCGCCUAUAGUCUCGCUUGGUUGCAUUCGAAAGAGCUCAAAAUCAUGCAAUAAAAAGUUAACUUUCGAGUCUUUGACUCUACUAGUUCCCUCGUGCGUGAUUUCAAGUGUUCGCCAAAUGUCAAAAGCCGUUUCGCACAUAGAAAUCCGAUUGAACUCAUUUUUGUCCAAAG